UUCACUCAGGCACCAAUUUGUAGUAGCUUUCUAUUAUGCCUAACCUUAGGCUUGUUUUCAAGGAAGAAAAGUUCAAGAUGACUGAAUGGAAGUAGAAGUUCAAUGUUCUGCAGUAAAGAAUGAAGAGCUCCAGGAACAAUGAAUACAUGGAGUCAUCAUGAAGAAGUCUAUUGUCAAGAUUUGGGAGGUUUCAUUGCAGUGGAUUAUAAAAGGCACUGGGGCAGCUGAUACACUGAGGUGCCAUUAAAAAUUAUAUCACCACUGAAGGAUAAUCUUGCUGUAGGCAAGAUUGCUUUGGGUGUGUAUUCCAGUUUAGGUGCCAAAAAUGCUAAGACUUGGAUAAAGGAGAGGAGAAAGUACAGCUAUGUUCUCUGUAUGCUUUUGCUGCUUCGAGGGAGACAGAAAAACAGCAGGAAAUGCUCAUUUCUUCUCUUGGGAUCUUUCAAGGACCUCCUACCUGAACAGUAUGGUUGAACUUUGCUUUGUAAGGGGAAGUUGUGUAUAAACCAAGGUGUUGCUGUGGCCUGUUGUCUUUU
rnacentral:lncRNA from 1 species